rnacentral:rRNA from 1 species
CCUACGGGUGGCAGCAGUGGGGAAUAUUGGACAAUGGGCGAAAGCCUGAUCCAGCCAUGCCGCGUGUGUGAAGAAGGCCUUCGGGUUGUAAAGCACUUUCAGUGGGGAAGAAAGCCUUGGGGCUAAUACCCUCGAGGAAGGACAUCACCCACAGAAGAAGCACCGGCUAACUCCGUGCCAGCAGCCGCGGUAAUACGGAGGGUGCGAGCGUUAAUCGGAAUUACUGGGCGUAAAGCGUGCGUAGGCGGUCUGAUAAGCCGGUUGUGAAAGCCCCGGGCUCAACCUGGGAACGGCAUCCGGAACUGUCAGGCUAGAGUGCAGGAGAGGAAGGUAGAAUUCCCGGUGUAGCGGUGAAAUGCGUAGAGAUCGGGAGGAAUACCAGUGGCGAAGGCGGCCUUCUGGACUGACACUGACGCUGAGGUGCGAAAGCGUGGGUAGCAAACAGGAUUAGAUACCCCGGUAGUC